rnacentral:lncRNA from 1 species
AUUGUGCUUUUACUAAUGGUAUCAUCUUAUACUCUAUGGCAGUGUAGUUAACUUUAUUACAAGUUGAAAAAUGCAGGCAGAGCCGGCCUAUUUCACAGCUAAGGAGCUUAAAAAACUCAUAGUAUAUCAAGAAUGGUUUCUUUUUCUUAAGCAAUGUAGAAUGAAUAAUAUUUUCCCAACAUCUAUAUUUAACUUGAGAUUGCCAGUGAAAUCUAAGAGCUUGCUAUUAAAUACUAAGAGACAUUGUCUCUCAGCAGCUAUUACUGAUGCGAGAAGAGAAUUAUUUCAAUGGAAGAAUCAUUUUGCACAAAAAGGCAUCCACAUUACUAACACAGAAGAUCUUAGAACCAACAUACCAUCGUGUUCCCAUUUUAUUCAAAGACAGCAAAGGAUGGUUAGUGGUAGUUACUGAAAGAAGCUUCAAUGGCUCAUCUUUAAACAACUUAAAAGUAAAAAUAAUGGUACACUAAAUCAGAAAACAUAUGUGGCACUGGACAAUAUAGUGGUACACAAUUUGUUGAUGACAUGUUAGAAAUGGGUCCAAAUGCCUUAAUACAAAACAUCCUGAUCUGGGAAAAUAUAGCCAUCCAGUUCGAACCGAUUUUACAGGAAUGUGACCCGAUCAGAGCUGAUGAGAUGAGGUAGAAAAUAGCUAGAGAGUUGAAGUCGGUUAAGUAUAAUGAGUUAAGAUCAGCAAAACUAAAGGUUAGAGAAGCUGAAAAAUGGCUGCAAGAUAACAAUAUCCUUUGCACUAGGAACAAUAAAAGAGUAAGUUAAUGGUGUUAUUAAAAAGAGCUACCUAUCAAUCCUUUAUACAAAGAUUCUUGAAUGAGAGUAAUUGCCAGAAACUAAAUUAUGAUCCAACUGAUCAAGUAGAUAACGAAGUGCACAGGAUCUUGAGAAAUAAUAACCUCCCAAUUUUCCUAAAGAACUCUUAUGUGAAGUCGGAAACCCCCUAGGCUCUUUGCCUUUAUUAAGAGGCAUAAAGUUUCAAUCAAAGCCAGACCAGUCGUCAAAAGAAGAUCAGCACCAAUGUAUCUUUUGGAAAAACGUCUAGCAAAAUGGUGCUAUGGGCAGCUUAGUGAUUAUGUGUUUACAACAAUCUCUUCAAAAAAUUUGAUAGAUAAUCUUUUGGAAGUCAGCCCGCUUCCUGAGC